UACGUAGGGUGCAAGCGUUAAUCGGAAUUACUGGGCGUAAAGCGUGCGCAGGCGAUUGUGCAAGACAGAUGUGAAAUCCCCGGGCUCAACCUGGGAAUUGCAUUUGUGACUGCACGGCUAGAGUGUGUCAGAGGGGGGUAGAAUUCCACGUGUAGCAGUGAAAUGCGUAGAGAUGUGGAGGAAUACCGAUGGCGAAGGCAGCCCCCUGGGAUAACACUGACGCUCAUGCACGAAAGCGUGGGGAGCAAACAGG
rnacentral:rRNA from 1 species